GCUGGUUCGUGAUCGACAAACAUACCUAAACUCUUGAUAUGUUCAAAUGUUAACGGUGUUUUUUUAUGGAGAACAAUAGACGGUUCAAGUUCUCCAGGAGAAUUUUUUGACCCAGUAUACGACUGCUCAAUCAUAUUGGAUAAAGAUCCAAAAGCUAAAGAUGGAUUUUAUUGGAUAACACUUGGAGAAAAUAAACCGAAAAGGGUUUAUUGUGACAUGACAACUGAUGGUGGUGGGUUCAUGUUGAUUGGUCGA